rnacentral:rRNA from 1 species
CCUACGGGAGGCAGCAGUGAGGAAUAUUGGUCAAUGGGCGGAAGCCUGAACCAGCCAAGCCGCGUGAGGGAUGAAGGUACUGAGUAUCGUAAACCUCUUUUGUCAGGGAAUACAGACUGGGACGAGUCCUAUUAUGAGUGUACCUUAAGAAUAAGCAUCGGCUAACUCCGUGCCAGCAGCCGCGGUAAUACUGCGGAUGCGAGCGUUAUCCGGAUGUAGUGGGUUUAAAGGGUGCGUAGGCGGUCUUUUAAGUCAGCGGUGAAAGUCCGGGGCUCAACCACGGCAAUGCCGUGGAACCUGGUAGGCUGGAGUAGGUGGGAGGUAGGAGGAAUGCGUGGUGUAGCGGUGAAAUGCGUAGAUAUCACGCAGAACCCCGAGGGCGAAGGCAGCUUG